rnacentral:rRNA from 1 species
UACGUAGGGGGCAAGCGUUUGUCCGGAUUUAUUGGGCGUAAAGAGCGUGUAGGCGGUCAGGUAGGUCCGUUGUGAAAACUCGAGGCUCAACCUCGAGACGCCGAUGGAAACCAUCUGACUAGAGUCCGGAAGAGGAGAGUGGAAUUCCUGGUGUAGCGGUGAAAUGCGCAGAUAUCAGGAAGAACCACCCGUGCUAAGGCGGCUCUCUAGUACGGUACUGACGCUGAGACGCGAAAGCGUGGGGAGCGAACAGG